AACGAACGCUGGCGGCAUGCUUAAUACAUGCAAGUCGAACGAGAAAGUACCUUCGGGUGCGAGUAUAGUGGCGCACGGGUGAGUAACACGUAGGUGACCUGCCUUUUAGUUCGGAAUAACCAGUGGAAACGCUGGCUAAUACCGGAUGUUCAUGUUUUUUGAAGAGUGACAUGCAAAGAGGGCUUCGGCUCUCGCUAGAAGAUGGGCCUGCGGGGCAUCAGCUUGUUGGUGGGGUAACGGCCUACCAAGGCGAUGAUGUCUAGCUGGUCUGAGAGGAUGAUCAGCCACACUGGAACUGAGACACGGUCCAG
rnacentral:rRNA from 1 species